rnacentral:rRNA from 1 species
AAUAGAUACCCGGGUAGUCCACGCCGUAAACGAUGAGUGCUAAGUGUUAGAGGGUUUCCGCCCUUUAGUGCUGCAGCUAACGCAUUAAGCACUCCGCCUGGGGAGUACGGCCGCAAGGCUGAAACUCAAAGGAAUUGACGGGGGCCCGCACAAGCGGUGGAGCAUGUGGUUUAAUUCGAAGCAACGCGAAGAACCUUACCAGGUCUUGACAUCCUCUGACAACCCUAGAGAUAGGGCUUUCCCCUUCGGGGGACAGAGUGACAGGUGGUGCAUGGUUGUCGUCAGCUCGUGUCGUGAGAUGUUGGGUUAAGUCCCGCAACGAGCGCAACCCUUGAUCUUAGUUGCCAGCAUUCAGUUGGGCACUCUAAGGUGACUGCCGGUGACAAACCGGAGGAAGGUGGGGAUGACGUCAAAUCAUCAUGCCCCUUAUGACCUGGGCUACACACGUGCUACAAUGGAUGGUACAAAGGGCUGCAAACCGUGCGAAGGUAAGCGAAUCCCUUAAAGCCAUUCUCAGUUCGGAUUGCAGGCUG